rnacentral:rRNA from 1 species
CCAUUAUUAUCUAUUUACUGUGAACUGUAUUAUUACUUGACGCUUGAGGGAUGCUCCACUGCUAUAAGGAUAGGCGAUGGAGAUGCUAACCGAGUCAUAGUCAAGCUUAGGCUUGGUAUCCUAUUAUUAUUUACCAAAAGAAUUCAGAAUUAAUAUUGUAACAUAGACCUAAAAAAUCUAUAAAACAACUUUUAACAACGGAUCUCUUGGUUCUCGCAUCGAUGAAGAACGUAGCAAAGUGCGAUAACUAGUGUGAAUUGCAUAUUCAGUGAAUCAUCGAGUCUUUGAACGCAACUUGCGCUCAUUGGUAUUCCAAUGAGCACGCCUGUUUCAGUAUCAAAACAAACCCUCUAUCCAACAUUUUGUUGAAUAGGAAUACUGAGAGUCUCUUGAUCUAUUCUGAUCUCGAACCUCUUGAAAUGUACAAAGGCCUGAUCUUGUUUGAAUGCCUGAACUUUUUUUUAAUAUAAAGAGAAGCUCUUGCGGUAAACUGUGCUGGGGCCUCCCAAAUAAUACUUUUUUUAAAUUUGAUCUGAAAUCAGGCGGGAUUACCCGCUGAACUUAAGCAUAUCAAUAAGCGGAGGACAAAGAUCAUUAAAUAAUCAAUAAAUUUUGGCUUGUCAUUAUUAUCUAUUUAC